rnacentral:rRNA from 1 species
GACGAACGCUGGCGGCGUGCUUAACACAUGCAAGUCGAACGGAAAGACCCUGCUUUUGUGGGGUGCUCGAGUGGCGAACGGGUGAGUAACACGCGAGUAACCUGCCCUUGUCUUUGGGAUAACUUCAGGAAACUGGGGCUAAUACCGGGUAGGAGAUCCUGCUGCAUGGUGGGGGUUGGAAAAUUUCGGCGGUUCGGGAUGGACUAGCGGCUUAUCAGCUUGUUGGUGGGGUAGUGGCUUACCAAGGCUGUGACGGGUAGCCGGCCUGGGAGGGUGACCGGCCACAUUGGGACUGAGAUACGGACCAGACGCGUACGGGAGGCAGCAGUGGGGAAUAUGGCACAAUGGGCGGAAGCCAGAGGUAGCAACGCCGCGUGCGGGAUGACGGCCUUCGGGUUGUAAACCGCUUUGGCCGGUAACGAAGCGGGAGUGACGGUAAUUGGUAAAGAAGCAACGGCUAACUACGUG